UUUUCAUCUCGUAUGGGACUAUUUGGGGCGUUACGCUGUCGUUUUCUCCAACCCGCACCACCCCUCCCUCUCCACGGCCGGCCGCCGUCGUCCUCCCUGCCGUCGGCCGCCCACGCGUUGCACCAACAAUCGCUGAAGUCGCGUCCUCUGGUGGUCCUCUAGGCCAAGCUCCACUUGCUGCUGAUCACACCUGGCGGCACUGCUUUUUACACCCCCUCCUCCCUCCCUGGCCGUCCACAGCCCCUUGCCUCCUCCUCCUCCUCCUCUUCCUCCCACCUAGCUCUAUCCCUCAGACCGCACGCCUCGUCGAAGAUCAAAGUAGCCUCGAUCGGUUGAAGAAUUGUGGUUCCAGCGACAUCUAGUGGAUUUGGUCGAGUCGAGGACUCACGAGUUUUUGUUAUAUGUAUGCGGGUGCUACAAUCCGGAUGUCGAUAUAGUAUGCUUAUUGAUUAUUUGUUCUUGCU